rnacentral:rRNA from 1 species
AACGAACGCUGGCGGCAGGCUUAACACAUGCAAGUCGAACGCCCCGCCAGGGGAGUGGCGCACGGGUGAGUAACGCGUGGAUAUCUGCCUUUUGGUUCGGAAUAACCCCGGGAAACUGGGGCUAAUACCGGAUGGUUCCUACGGGAUAAAGAUUUAUCGCCAAAAGAUGAGUCCGCGUACGAUUAGCUAGUUGGUGAGGUAAUGGCUCACCAAGGCGACGAUCGUUAGCUGGUCUGAGAGGACGAUCAGCCACACUGGGACUGAGACACGGCCCAGACUCCGACGGGAGGCAGCAGGGGGGAAUAUUGGACAAUGGGGGCAACCCUGAGCCAGCCGUGCCGCGUGAGUGAUGAAGGCCUUCGGGUUGUAAAGCUCUUUUGGCGGGGACGAUGAGGACGGUACCCGCAGAAUAAGCCCCGGCUAACUUCGU